CGAGGGGUAUUUAUCUUCGGAUAGAGAGACCGGCGCACGGGUGCGUAACGCGUAUGCAAUCUACCUUUUACAGAGGGAUAGCCCAGAGAAAUUUGGAUUAAUACCUCAUAGUAUGCAGAGUUGGCAUCAACACUGCAUUAAAGUCACAACGGUAAAAGAUGAGCAUGCGUCCCAUUAGCUAGUUGGUAAGGUAACGGCUUACCAAGGCUACGAUGGGUAGGGGUCCUGAGAGGGAGAUCCCCCACACUGGUACUGAGACACGGACCAGACUCCUACGGGAGGCAGCAGUGAGGAAUAUUGGACAAUGGGCGCAAGCCUGAUCCAGCCAUGCCGCGUGCAGGAUGACGGUCCUAUGGAUUGUAAACUGCUUUUAUACGAGAAGAAACACUGCUUCGUGAAGCAGCUUGACGGUAUCGUAAGAAUAAGGAUCGGCUAACUCCGUGCCAGCAGCCGCGGUAAUACGGAGGAUCCAAGCGUUAUCCGGAAUCAUUGGGUUUAAAGGGUCCGUAGGCGGUUUAAUAAGUCAGUGGUGAAAGCCCAUCGCUCAACGGUGGAACGGCCAUUGAUACUGUUAGACUUGAAUUAUUAGGAAGUAACUAGAAUAUGUAGUGUAGCGGUGAAAUGCUUAGAGAUUACAUGGAAUACCAAUUGCGAAGGCAGGUUACUACUAAUGGAUUGACGCUGAUGGACGAAAGCGUGGGUAGCGAACAGGAUUAGAUACCCUGGUAGUCCACGCCGUANACGAUGGAUACUAGCUGUUGGNAGCAAUUUCAGUGGCU
rnacentral:rRNA from 1 species